GACCCAGUGGCGGACGGUACGGCGCCCGCACCGUGUGACUUUGUGUUGUCAUCGAUAACUGUGGGUGGCCCUGGUUCGAUUCCGGGCUGGGUCA